rnacentral:rRNA from 1 species
AAACGGGACGGCCCGCCAGAGGACCCAAACUCUAAUGUUUCUUAUUGUAACUUCUGAGUAAAACAAACAAAUAAAUCAAAACUUUCAACAACGGAUCUCUUGGUUCUGGCAUCGAUGAAGAACGCAGCAAAAUGCGAUAAGUAAUGUGAAUUGCAGAAUUCAGUGAAUCAUCGAAUCUUUGAACGCACAUUGCGCCCGCUGGUAUUCCGGCGGGCAUGCCUGUUCGAGCGUCAUUUCAACCCUCAAGCCCCCGGGUUUGGUGUUGGGGAUCGGCUCUGCCUCACGGCGGUGCCGCCCCCGAAAUACAUUGGCGGUCUCGCUGCAGCCUCCAUUGCGUAGUAGCUAACACCUCGCAACUGGAACGCGGCGCGGCCAUGCCGUAAAACCCCAACUUCUGAAUGUUGACCUCGGAUCAGGUAGGAAUACCCGCUGAACUUAAGCAUAUCAU